ACAUGUUAAAACUUAAAUGUAAUUAUUGUUAUAGAUAACGAAUUGUUAAAAGAACAUGAUUAGUGUGAACUGAACUAAACAACAAACGCAACAAAGAAAAGGUCCAAGAGGGCCUUUUCUUAUUUUAUCGGCUAAUAGUACAGCUAAACAGACACGGCAACAUCUAAAAACAACCAAAAAUCCAGACAGAAAACCCGAAACAUAACCUUGUCCAAGGUUAUCGACACAAACCAUCCGGUGGAACUAGGCCCGCAACAUAACCUUGUCGUUUUUGGGGUUACGGACGAAAACCAUCCGGUGGUACAAAGCUCCUCAGACUGUACAGGUCCGGAAUCACAACCAGCAAGCAUCGGGCGCUUCCGGGACGCCGGAAGACGCCUGAUAUGAAUCCGGAAUUGCCAUUUGGAACAACAACAUCCAGGUGGUUCCAGUUCGUCUGAACAUCCGCCGAUCGACUGGUCUGUAGCUACCCCAGAUAAGUCCCGUGCCAAUCAAGAACAUUAACCGCAAGUAUGCCUAUGUGAAAGAAUGUGACGUCACAAUUAGUUCCCUGUACAAUUAAAAUCAUGUUACCUUUAUAAAAAUAAACACCCCAACAUAAUGUAAAAACUCGAAA